GAAUGCAUGGCUUUAAGCCGGCGCUGUAAAAGGCUGCAUACCCAUAAUAAUGGAGUGUUUUAUGUACGUGAAUUAGCUUCCGUCAGACGCAAGCCAUACAUACUGUACAAAGAGAAAACUGGUAUUAUUGGAUGUGAUUCAUACACAUUGAAAGUUGAAAUAAUGAGGAUAUAUCCUGAAUUAUCUGGUUCUUCAAGGAAGGUGACUAAAAGCCUAGAGGGUUAUAAUUUCUUAAUUUUUAGCUGGGUGCAAGAACUGAAGAGGAAAAAGUGUUGACAAUAUUUUUAUGUAUUCACGCUGGCAGAUUUCUCCCUGACAUCAGUGAUGUUAACUGAGGACACACAACUGAGGAUGCGUAGGCUGUCUAACACUAGCAUAAGUCGCAGGCCCUUUGGCAAAACCAAAUACAUAUUCUUAGUGCUGGAUGAAGCCCAUGUGGUGCCCUAUGCAAGCCUCAUUGCCGGUAGUGAAGGUUGACGGAGGUGGUGCUGCUGAUUUGCUGAGUGGGCGUCCCCUCAGAAGAUGGCACGCCAGGCAGGGAACAAUGUCACCUACAGGAUUUACCGGCCCUGCAUAUUGUGUGACUUAAAUGUGUCAAGAAAAGAUUUUGUCUCUGUGCUUUUAGUAUUGUAUACUACAUCCAUCAGGUGUUUUUGCUUACUUAGGCCCAAUGGCAUUGACCACAAGGUUAUCAACAUUUUAUAAAAACAACCAAUAGAAAGCUUUUGUUAAAUGAAAAAUAAUAGCAUUGUUAUUCAAUUCAUGAGGAUAGCAUUAAUCUAUGCAUAAUUCUAUGUAAAUUUAAGUUAUUAAAUGAUCUAAAGAAUUAUUCAUAUUACCUGAAAAAUAAAUCAAUGUUUGCUAGCUUUUAAAAGUAGGGAGUCUGAUUUUAACCUUAAAUCAAACAUUUUACAUGACAUUGAGAUUCAAAUACUACUACUUUAAAAGAACAUCAGAAUUGGUCUCUCUACUCUUUGCACUCUUUCACCAUUUCAAAUGCAAAUCUACUGAGGGGGUUAUGUAUUUUUUUAAAAUGUUUUCAUAACAUAUGAUUCAACACUCAACACCUACUAUACAUCACAGCCCGUUCUUGUUUCAGUGAUUAAUGUGUCUUGGAGUCACUGCUGACAUGCCUAACGAGCAUUAGUUAAGUAUCUCCUUCAGAAUAGCUAGUAACUAGAUUUGAAUGCACCAACAGAAAGAUUUCAAAUAAGAGUAUAAAGGUAUAAAAAUAAAAUCCACUAUUACAGUGUUCACAUGUUAAUAUGAACUGAUCCUUGAAUCCAAAGUUAUGAUUCUCAUCAUAGAUUCAUUUGCUGUUGUUUUUUCCACACAGAAUUCAUUCUUAAAGGUUGUAUACAAAAAAGGCAAGAAAGAAUGAUAUAAGUAAUUCCCUGGUGCAUAUUUACACCCAUGACUGACAGAUUGGCAAAAGUUCUUUAGUUAAGCAUGUAACAUAAUGAGAAAUAACUUGGACAGAAUGAUUCUAGUUUUUGCUCAAACAGAUUAUUUCAUUGCUGUAGCAAAACCAGGCACAAGCUUGUUCCUCUUGCUGACUGAU